AACCCGUCGGCUGUCAGCGGA
rnacentral:snRNA from 1 species